rnacentral:rRNA from 1 species
ACACUCCUACGGGAGGCAGCAGUGAGGAAUAUUGGACAAUGGGUGGAAGCCUGAUCCAGCCAUCCCGCGUGCAGGAAGACGGCCCUAUGGGUUGUAAACUGCUUUUAUCUGGGGAUAAACCUACUUACGUGUAAGUAGCUGAAGGUACCAGAAGAAUAAGCACCGGCUAACUCCGUGCCAGCAGCCGCGGUAAUACGGAGGGUGCAAGCGUUAUCCGGAUUUAUUGGGUUUAAAGGGUCCGUAGGCGGACUGAUAAGUCAGUGGUGAAAUCCGACAGCUUUACUGUCGAACUGCCAUUGAUACUGUUAGUCUUGAGUAAGGUUGAAGUGGCUGGAAUAAGUAGUGUAGCGGUGAAAUGCAUAGAUAUUACUUAGAACACCAAUUGCGAAGGCAGGUCACUAAGUCUUAACUGACGCUGAUGGACGAAAGCGUGGGGAGCGAACAGGAUUAGAAACCCGAGUAGUCCCAUG